rnacentral:rRNA from 1 species
UACGAAGGGGGCUAGCGUUGUUCGGAAUUACUGGGCGUAAAGCGCGCGCAGGCGGCUAUCCAAGUCAGUGGUGAAAGCCCGGAGCUCAACUCCGGAACUGCCAUUGAAACUGUUUAGCUUGAGGAUGAGAGAGGUGAGUGGAAUUCCCAGUGUAGAGGUGAAAUUCGUAGAUAUUCGGAAGAACACCCGUGGCUAAGGCGGCUCUCUAGUACGGUACUGACGCUGAGACGCGAAAGCGUGGGGAGCGAACAGG